rnacentral:rRNA from 1 species
UACAGAGGUCUCGAGCGUUGUUCGGAUUCAUUGGGCGUAAAGGGUGCGUAGGCGGCGCUGUAAGUCAGGUGUGAAAUUUCGGAGCUUAACUCCGGAACUGCAUUUGAUACUGCGGUGCUUGAGGACUGGAGAGGAGACUGGAAUUUACGGUGUAGCAGUGAAAUGCGUAGAGAUCGUAAGGAAGACCAGUGGCGAAGGCGGGUCUCUGGACAGUUACUGACACUGAGGCACGAAGGCCAGGGGAGCAAACGGG